CGGGGUUACACACAUUAGAGGUUCCUAUCUGAUUUGAUAGCUGGUGAAGAGUUCUUCAUGUUUGAGAUUCUGUGAUCGAGAAUCAAGAUUCUCUGAUCAUGAAUUUCACACAUUUUGGGUACCGGGGUCAAGAGUCCCACUGGUUUAGGAUUCUUCGAUCAGGAUUACAUAUCGAUGAAUUCUGAUGUCCGAUUAUCCAUCGGAUUUGGACUCAAUAUUUAUGAGAGAUUUAAUUAGUGAUUUGAUCGCUAAUUAACUCAAUUUGAUUGAGUAAUUAAUUUUGGAUCAAGUCCAAUUGAAUUGGAUUCAGUUGGAUUUGACCCAAUUAGGUUAAGAGUUGACCUAAUCGUCGAGAUGGUUUGAUCCCUGAUAUGAUCAGUGGUUGGGCUUAAUCAAUUCCUGAUUUAAUUAGGAUUUUAUUGAGCCUAAUUAAGCCUAAUUAAGUUGGAUUUAAAUUAGUCUAAUUGGGCCUAACUUAUUUGGUUCAAUUAGGUUGGUUUAAAUAAUGAAACCCCCUUGACCCAUUCUCCCUACGCCACCUCACUUCCUCUGCGCCCAUUUGAAUUCACGAGAAAGAAGUUCUCAUGAAUUUUUCCUCACGCAAAGCCCUCCUCACGUCCUACUUUAAUGCGCCAAAUGAGUGGAUAAGGAUGAUUAGUUGGCCAUUCAAAUUCAAAACAAAAGUUUGAAUUUGAAUGAGCAACCAAUCUUAGCGCCUUGACC
rnacentral:lncRNA from 1 species